UACGUAGGGUGCAAGCGUUAUCCGGAAUUAUUGGGCGUAAAGAGCUCGUAGGCGGUUUGUCGCGUCUGCUGUGAAAACCGGAGGCUCAACCUCCGGCCUGCAGUGGGUACGGGCAAACUAGAGUGCGGUAGGGGAGAUUGGAAUUCCUGGUGUAGCGGUGGAAUGCGCAGAUAUCAGGAGGAACACCGAUGGCGAAGGCAGAUCUCUGGGCCGUAACUGACGCUGAGAAACGAAAGCCAGGGGAGCAAACGGG
rnacentral:rRNA from 1 species